rnacentral:lncRNA from 1 species
UUUAUUGAACAUACAUAUAGAAAUCCAGAUCUAUACCUUUUAAUGGUUUCAGACACUUGCACUAGCACAGUGUCACAACAAACAACCAAGAAAAGCCAUAUGGUGUUCGAUAUUUAUUCAACAGGAGGAUUCAACAGUCAUAGAACUCUAUGGAAACACAAACCCACCAGUCCACAUACCGUAGUAUAAUCACGCCAUCUUCGGCGACAGCCUAAACCAAAGCCCAAAUAGUAUGAACCAUGAGCUCCGAUAAUUUAAGAUGCAAAAACAAAGAAACCCACACAGAUAAAAGCUGGAAAAGACAUGUAGAUUUGCUAAAUCUAGCAAAUAAUCGGACCAAGAUGCUUCAAUUCCCCGAGAGAAGAUGAGAGAGUGAUGCGGAAUAGAAAAGCAGCCUUUCACUUCACCCAUAAUAGAAUAAUAUUAAUGGGAAUGAAAGGUAGGGUUUCUUCCUCUUCAGUGAGCCCAUCUUCUCUUUCUCCUCCUCUUUGUGGUGCUGGGAAGUAUGGUGAGGUGGUUGGUGGUGUGGAGAUGAUGAAAGUGAGGGAUUAAUAAUGAGGGGAAGAGGGGAGAGAACAUGAUGAUUGCUGCAGUGUGUUUUGCGUUGAAUGGAGGGAUAUAAAUCCAAAGCAUAGCGUGCUUCCUCUGAGGGGUUUGUUGGGUUCUUAUUCACAUGGAGAGAUAAUCAUACCAUGAAACCCCAUGACACCAUCCUUUUUCUGGUUCCUACCCCAAAAGAAACUCUUCAUUAUAUCCCCUACUUAUAAAGACACCCUCUACUUGACCUUUUGUGUGUGUGUGUCAAUAUGUCUCAUUAAAAAAAAAAAAAAAACCCAAAAUUUUCCUUUAUUUUGAAUCACAGGUCUAAAAUAUUUUUAACUCAUUUUUCCUUGUGCAUAUGACUGACUCACUGACUGAAGUCUGAAUAUAUAUGGAUACUGUUGAAGGUCGUUACUGCUGUAAACACUGUUGAUAUCAAUGAAAAGCACGAUCCGGAGUUGGGAGUCCUGUGGACCCGUGAGAGACUGUAGUCUGUAUGAGUAUAAGACAGAGGAAUCGGAUUCUUUAGGAGAAUAAGCAAAACGGGAACUGCCAUUAAGCUGCGCCAUAAACAAUCAAUUUUGAGGGUAUGUUUAGAUGAGAAAGCUUCCCCAUUUUUCACAACAUGUUCGUUUCAGAAUAAUAUGCGACUGGAAAAGGAACCAUCCUCAGACCUUCUCUUCUGCCUGUGCAUAUAACGCCAAGGGAUCCUAUUUUUCAUUUUCACCCCGUGUCUUUUCAGUUUUCACACUCCGUGGACCCAAUAAGCUUAGGGAGUUUUCCAUUAAAUAUUGAUGAUUAUGGAGAUGAUGAUAACGAAGAUUAUGGCACUGGGAAUGGUGACAGAGUCAAUGAUGAUCAUGUGGAUUACAGCAAUGAUGACUUCUCAAAUUCAUCCUCAAAACUCCAGCUAAUAAAUGGGGUCGCAGCUAGGGAUUGUUUGGGAAACAAGUGAGAUGCCUAUUUUUUAAGCUAUAUAUUUGAUUAAAAGGGUGAAAUAAUAACCUUUCACCUAUUUUAGUUAAAAAAAAUUGAUCAAGUUUUAACCAAAAAAGAAAAAAUACUCUUCAUUUUUCAUCUAAAAAAACAUUUUUUAAAGUGGGUUUUAAUUCAUUAAAUAUGAAAAAAGAAACCCUAAAUUUUUUAAAUAAUUUGAAAUACAUUUAUUUUUUAGUGAAUCAUUUAAUUAUUUCCCAAAAUACUCAUUUGAAUUAUCAUGUCAUUAAUAUCAAUUAAUAAUUAGACUUUUCCACGUAAAUAUUUCCCUUCCUUUUAGAUAUUUAUUCACCCCGUAAUUUUUUUUUUCUUCUCUCCAUCAACAAACAUUCCAUAGGAAAAAUGAGAUAGGACAUUGCUUUAAUGAAAUUAUUUUUAAAGAGACCUUGGAAAAAACCAUAUACCUUAUUUCCUACAAAACUCAAACUCAUCCACAGUCCAUUAGGGUUUUAUUACUUUUAAUGUUCACGCUUUUCAAACUUCCUCAUUUUUACUAUGGGGUGUUUGUUUAUGGAGAAAAAAAAAUCUUAAAUUUUCUAAUGAGAUGUUCGUUCUAAAUGGAAAAAAAAUCCCAAAUAAUAAUAAUAAUAAAUAUCUAAAAUAAAAGAAAAUAUCUACUAGAGAGUUUAGUUGUCAAAUGAUGUUAAUGACAUAACAAGUUAAAUGGGCAUUUUAAUAAAUAAUUGGAUGACUCAUUAAAAAAUGUAUGUAUUUUAAAUAGAUAAAGAUAAUAUUGAUUUAAAAUAUUUGAGGUUUUUUUUCUAUAUAUUUUCAUAUUAGUGAAUCAAAACCUACUAUUUAAAAAAAAAAAAAAAAUCUUACAUAAAAAUAAUGUAAAUAUAUAAAUACGCUUAUGUAAAAAAUAAAUUAAUUUUUAAGUUCAAACGUAAGAGAAGUUAUUUUUACAAAUUUAAGGGUCUAUUUAGUUAUGUUUUUUUAAAUUUGUUUUUUAACAUUGGUUUUUAUUCUUUAAUAAAAAUAGUUUUUAAAAACAAAUUUUAAGAAAUAUAACCAAAUGGACCCAUGUUUCCUUCUAUUUUUAAAAAUAAAUGAAAACAAUUUUUUCUUAUUUUUUAAAAAUUAUUCUUUAUUUCACUUUAUUUUUAAAAAUUAUUUCUACAAAACAACGAUAAAACAGUAUUAAAAAUUUGUAAAAAUAGUUUUUUAUUUUUAAAAGUAAAAAACCAUUUUAAAAUCAUACAACCAAUUAGAGUCUUUGACUAUUCCUCCUAAUAAAAAGAAUUGAAGAUUGAUCUCAAAAGAAACAUAAAGACCGAGAAUAUUUUGAAUAAAUGUUUUUGAGUUUUUGAAAAUAAUUUUUUAAACUUAUUUUUUGAAAACAAUUAAGAACCAAACGAAUUUUCAAAGGUAGCCAUAAAUUUUGAAAAUUUACUUUUACAACUAAUAUACCAAAACAAUCAUUGUGUUUAAUUUUCAUUUUUCAAAAUGAAAAAUUCUUAAUAAUAACAAUAAUAAUUUUUUAUUAUUAUUAUUUUGACUGUGGGUAAAACUCUUUCAUACCGAUACUACGCAUAUUUGAAAAAGCACUGACUUCUAUUAAAAUCUGGGAUCACUUAAAAAACAAUGAUAGUGUGUCGGCUCCAUCUAGCUAGUACGUAUUCAAAUCAUGAUGAUAAUAGGUGCACCGUAGCAAAUUUUGGCAUAAAGUAAAAAUGGUUUUUCUAGUAAACUGAAGUUGCUUCGAAGUAAAGGUCGUGAGAAUUGGUGCAUCAGGAAAGCACUUUUUCAUAUGCUCCAUGAUUAAAAUUCACAACCAGCUCUCUCAGAGGAGAUUAAAGGGCAGGGAAAAGAAAUUAAAGUCACCCCUUCAAUCCUCUCUUAGUGACUUUAGGUUUGACCCUAGUAAAGUUUCCACUUCCAAUGGAUCACUUUUCUACUUUUCUUUCUUUCUAAUCAACUUCUCUUUUAGGAUUCAGGCUGGUCUAGAGGCCAAUUACAACACACAUCCGCAUAAUCUCAAUGUCUCGGAGGAGUGCUUCUGUCUUUUCAUUGACAAAUUAAACAGUGCCAUGGAUCUCUGGCUUUAAAUAAGAACAAAAACAAAUAGCAAUCUUCUUUACAGUUAGUGGAGACAGUGCCCCAUGGCGCCUUUUGGUAAUGCCCACCAAAAAGGUGGAGGGCAAGGAAAGCUGAUGGGGAAGUCGAGUGUGUGUGGAUAUUGGGUGAAUAUUCAGACUAUGUCUUGUGGGGCAAAAUACCCAUUCUUACGCUCGUCUCACGUGAGGCUGUCCUCCCAACUUACUUCCUCAUUUCGGAUAAUUUUUAAUAUUAUUUUUAAAGGCAUCAAAGUGAUUCAAUUUUUUAUUCAACCAUGAAGAAAAAAAUACAGAGCCGUAAGAAAAUAUUGCACUAAUUUUCAUAUUAUUUGAACUUGGGGUUAGUCCACAUGAUAUGAACUUAAAAGUCAAAGGAUAACUUUUAACAUAGGACUUUUACAAAAAUGUAUUGAUAUUUGACACACAUUAAAAUGAUUUAAGUUUUAGUAAGAGAAGAACGUGAUUUGAAAUUUUUGCGGGUGGCCCGACACGUGGUAAAACCCAUAUGAAGAGCGUGUCUAGCGUGACGCAUGAGAAGCAAUUUCCUCUAAAUUGCACAAAUCAUAUUUAUAUUUUAAAUUGAGUGUCGAAAUACAACUUUGAACAUUUGAAUGAUUUGGAUUCAAAAGUCAGUCGUCCAGAUGAUAGACUUUUAGAAUUCAUCAAAGUAUUUAUAUAAAAGGCAUAUAUAAAACAUAUAUUUUAGUGAAUUUAAUGGAUAGGAAAUUCUUCAUCACUAAAAAAUGUUUAUUUUUUAAAAUUUUACAAUAUUAGAAAUGGUAAUAUAAUUUUCAUUUUAAAAAAAAACCUGUAACAAGAGCUUAUGAAAGGAUCUUAGAAAGGUUGUACUCAUUUUUUUUAACUUAAUGUCUAUUGUGUAGUGUUCUACCUUUGCAUGAAAAGUGAGUAAUAAAAAUUCAUAUAUGGAAGGCUUACACAACAAUGCUAUUCAAAUUUUUUUUUGAGGGCAUAGACUUGAUAAACAAGCAAAAUUUGAAGCGAUUGGUGGGUUACCUAGGUACCUCUAUGGCCUUGAAUCAUACAAUAUUAAGUGGAGCGUGGAGUUGUUGUAAAAUAAUAUUAAAGUCUAAUAUUAAGGCAGAGAUGUGCUUGUUGAGCCUAAGAAAAUGGAUAACAAUACUCGAAGAGUGAGUGGUGAAGAGUUAUAUAUGAAAGGUUUGUACAAUAACAUUAUCAAAGUUUUUUUUCAAAAAUAAAGGUCUAAUAAAGAAAUAAAAUUGGGUAUCAAUAAUAUCGAGUGAAGAGUGGGAUUGUGAUAGAAUGUAAGGGGGAUGGAUUGUAAUGUCCCACGCCACCCCGAAAGUAAAUGGUGAAGAAUCAUAUAUAGAGGACUUAUAUAACAAUAUUAUUAAAACUUUUUCUUUAAAGGUAAAGGUCUAAUAAAGAAGCAUAAUCGAAACCCAAAUCUAAUAAUAUUGGGUGGAGAGUGGAUUGUUUUUUUUUUUUUUUUUUUUUUUUUUUCUAUUUAUUGCUUAUUUUUAACUUUUUUUUAUUAAAUAAUAAAUAAAAUAAUAAUAAUAAAAAACAUGAUAUUUAAUACUAUUCAAAUGUUAGGUUGCCUUUCUUUGAUUUAAAAUCAAUAAUCAUUCUCCACCAUGAACUUUGGUAAACCUCCAUAAGUGACAAACAAAUAAUCAUUAAAAAUAUGAAACUGAGAAUUCAUCACCCAUAGGAUUCUUUUCUCACGCAAGCAAUAUUAUGGUGGAGUGAUUAAUAAUAAACACUAGCUUUUAAAUAGUAUACAAAGCACAAUAAUUAACGUAUUUUUUAAUAACAAAUAAAGUAAUUCAAUUUUCAUGUGGAGACAAAUACAUAGCCAUAAUCCGAAUAAGCAUAUUUUCUAGUAAUAAUGGGCUUUUUAUUUAAUGCAUGUUUUUAGGAUUUAGUAUCCAACUAAACCUUAACCUCUCAUCUAAUUUUGACAUUGUAAUGAUUAUAGUUACGUAUUUUGGUAUAAGAUUAAGUCACAAUCUUAGGUACAUGGCAUGGAUUGUAUAUCUUUUGCCUGCCCAAAAAUGAUGCACCAUGUUGCCCAUGGAGGAAUCGUAUACGACUAAAUUUUUCUGCCUUUCUUUCAGACUCGAAAUUUAAAUAAAUUUUAUGGCAAAAUCAGCCAAAACUGAUGGUGCAGACCUCAAAAAUAGUCACUCUCAGUAGACUUUUUCUAAACUAGGCCAAACAUUUCUAAAAACGUACCUACUAAUUUAGAAUUGGGCCCAUCUAACAACCUAGACAGAAAUUUAUGGUCCGCAACAUUAAUCUUGUCAAAUCACCGUUUGGUUGACUGCCGACCUUUUUACCUUCCUCAAAAAUUUUUAUCCCGAGUUCCAGGAAAUGUUAUUAACAUAUAUGGCCCCCAAAAGCGGAAGCUUCUAAGUAAGCCUCCACAAGGUAAUGCCAAAAUCAAGGCUUUUUGUUGUAGGGGAUAACAUAGAUUUAAAGCUAUAUUACUUUUUGAUAAAUGUAACUUAUGUAUUAAAAAAUGUGCCCUCUUGUUUUUUUAUGCCACAUCAAAAUCCACAGGCCUCAUCUUUUGCAAAACCGGAAGCUUCCCGAGGAUGCCUCCUCCGCUAGGUAUGUCAAAUCGAGGUUCAUUUCGAAGGGGAUGGGAUAAAUUAAAAUUUUAAUUUAACUUUUCUAAAUUCUUGCAUGAAUGUUGGAUAUUUACGAAAAAAAAAAAUGUGCAGUGUAGAAUUUUUAUGCCAAAUCAGAUCUCUGGUCCCCCUUGUUUUAAAAAAUGGAAGCUUCCAAGGAAGCCUCCCCAAGGUCAUGCCAAAUCCAUACAGGUUGUACAAGAUGGAAUAGUGUAGAUGGAUGUUACAUGGGUACAAAUAUGUAUAUCUACUGUAUUGUUUUUUAUGCCACGUCAAAUCAAUGGGACUCACUUGUGCAAAAGGUGGAAGCUUCAAGGAAGCCUCUACAAGGUUAUGACAUUCAAGAUUUCGGGCCUAAGCUUAUCAAGGAAGCCUCGAGGAGUCUUCCUCCGACAUGAUCGAGGAAGAAGAAGGGUGACCCAAUAACCAAGGAAGUAGAGAAAGUCUCCGUGCUGAGGUUUCCACAAGUCACCUAAAAGACCCUCAAGGACUAAAAUUAACGAAGAAGGAAAUUUGGCAGCUGAUCCACAACUUAAAGCAUAGUGUCAGAUAAGCCAAUUAAUAUAGACCAAUUUGAUCCGACCCGGCCAAACUCAUCUUCCUGUCUACGCUUGGUCAUGCCCAGCCAGACCCGCUUGCGUGAAUGUGCAGGUCGAGUCUGCUUCUUUGCAUUGGGCCAAUUGGUGGUGCGAGCAUAGGCUUAGGGGUGCUGCUGAUACACACAAAUUUCUCUUUAAAGAGAAAUUAUAUAUGAUUAGGUUAAAUUUUUAUUGAUUUAAAAAUCACGAGUAUUCUCUAUUUUGUCUUCUAAUUUUUUAUUUUUUAUUUACUAAUUAAGGGUUUGAAAAAACUUGAUGCCGAAUAACUUGAACUUAAUUUGGAUAUUAAUUUAAUUUAAUUUUGAGUCUUGACUUGAUUAAGGUCUUAUCUUGUGUUGAGUCUUGGCGUAAUUUAGACCUCAACAUAAUAUCCUUAGCAUGACUUGAAUCUUAACUUGAAUUGAGUUUUGGUGUAACUUGAGUUUUGACUUGGCUUGGAUUUGACUUCAUUUGAACAAUGUCAAUUAAAAGUUUGAGCAACUUGAUCUCAAAUCAAAGAGAUCUAUAUAGAUUAUUCGAAGAUACUUCAAAGAAAUUGAAGAUUCUUUCAACAAUAGUUAAAAGUGCCUUCUAAAGGUUUAAAGAAGUCUUAAAUCUCCCUUAAAGAGCAUUACUACAACUUUUAUCUUUUAAAUUACUUUAAAAGCUUUGAAAUUAAUUCUAUUUUUAAGAAUUUGAAACACAAUAUUUGAAUAGUUUUCUAACUAUUUAAAACCAUUAUUAAAAUAACUAUUUUGAGAAAUUUGAAGACCAUAUUUGAUCGUCAUAACCCUUUGAAACAUACCCGUAGGCUUCAUAUUAUCAAUUGGUUAAAGCAUAGUGGAGUGUAGAGGUUUCAAAUUAAUCAUAAUUAAGUAUGAAGUUGCAAUCCCUUUGUCCACAUCAGUGAUACUUUUGCCACUAGUGUCAUCCUCAAAUUCUUUAACAAACGUGUUCAUUUGUAUUUGUUUUUAUGAUAAGCACUAUAUUAUGUACUUGUGUAGCUAAUUCCUUAAAAGUUUUUAGUUUGAUACAUGUAAUAUAGUUCCUUGGUUAUAAAUUUCAUUAGAAAAACUUUCAUACAAUUUACAUUCAAGAUUUAAAUUUCUUUACUUUAUAUAAUCAAUCACUAGUUCAUAUUUUUAUUGUUUAAUAUUGGUAUUUCAAACAUGCUGAUGCAAUGUCAACUAACCUAAAAACUAUUAAGGAACUUUCCAUUUAUUCCAAAUUAUCGAUAAUAUUGAUUUCAAGAUUUGUAUACCAAUCAAAUUUAUAUUCUUUUAAAUGAGCAAAUAAAUUACUUGACUAAAAGGCUCAGUUCAUUUGUGAGGAAAAACUCAUUUGAAAAAGCUUGAAUGUUUUUUGUGGCAUGUUUUCUUCUGAAACAUAUUUUAAGCUUAUCUUAAGAUGCAUCUUAACGUGGAUAUGUGAUUUCAUUUGUUGAUCCUAUUACAAUUCCAAAUUUGUGAAAAAAUGUAUCGAUCUUAAAAUCUUGCUCUUGAUUGUGUUAUAUAAGUUCUUUUAUAGUUCUUUAUUUGUUUGAAGAAUGGUGUGCGUACAAUCAUAGUUUGAAAAGGUGCAGAAGCCUUCUAAAGUUUAAGUGCAAGAUGCAACACAAAGUAUGCAUUUGAGUGAAGUAAAAUGCAACCUAGGAUGCAUAUCGAGUUUAUAAAGUAUGAUUCGAAAUCUAAUCCAAUUAAUAAAAUUUAAGAUUCCACACAUUUAAAAGAAAAAUUCAAUAAAAAAUAAUGAAAUUAUAUACAUUUCAAUGUAAUAUUAAAAAAUUUAAGAAUUAAAUGGUUUAAAAAGAAAGAGUAACACCGACAAGAUAUGAUUCUUCAAUAAGACAUAUGUCUUGACAAGCAAAGUGUUACGAUUAGAAAGUAAUUGCUCUUUAAGUCUAUACGUGUUUAAAACAUCCCUUUUAAAAUUAUGGGUAAAAUAUCUACUUUUUCCUCUAAUUCUUUCGACUUUCGGUAAUAAUUUUUUUUACACCUUCUAGGCUAUGACCAAAAGAAAUGACAUUAGUAGACUCGAGAAAAUUUUAAGGUACUGAAGCAAUAUGGUACCAAAUUCAAAAUCUAAGACUGUUGAAGUAUAUGAUUAAAUAUAGAGCACUAUAUUCAUCAUUUGCAUAUGGUUAAAUAUAAAGUAAUGGGCAUUUACUAUGUGGCAUUUUUUAAUAGGAUGAGACUUUUCCAUAGCCAAAAAUAUCUUUUUGGUAGCAUAGUGGCAACAAUGAUGUAACACAAAGCAGAGAGAUACAACCAUUCGCUACUUUCUCUCACUUUCUAAUCGAAAAAGUCCCACUAAGGCCUAGGGGUAAGAAUGAGGUCAAGUAGUCUGGUUUUUUGGUCUCCAUUUGACUUCCACAACAAUUAUUUGCCAAUUUCGAUAUUUUGAUUCGUUCCGUCGAAGGCAUUUUGAUGAUAAUUGAUUGUUUGGUGGCGUGUUCUGUAGGGAUCAGAGCUUCAUCUCAAGCCUGCAAAUAUUCCCUCCAACACUACUUGCAGCAGCAACUUUAGGCACAAAAUCACAAUGAGAGAUGAUUUCGCUUUCGCUCUUACAGGGAGCGGUGGACAGAUUUAACAUAGCCUACAAUGGCCUGAAAGGGUCGGUUGGGUGAGGCCUCUGUGCUAGCCAUUCUUCGACCCAACUUACUUAGGGCCUGGCCCAGCCUUUGAUCUUCCAAUAUUUGAGAAGGUGCUUAAGGUAUUUGCAGUUUUAAAAAAUAUUUUCUGCAUUUGUAUUUUAAUACCAAAAUUUAGGAUAGCAAUCAUGCCACGUUGAAAUGUCAUGUAGGAAGAAUAUUGUGUGACUGACGUCCUCGAUUUAUGAGUGAUUUUUUUUUCCACGAUUUUUGGAUUUUUAAUUUUUAAUUUUUAAUUUAUAUCAUUAUUUUAUUUUUAUUUUUUCAUAUUUAUCACGUUAAUUUUUAUUUUUAAAUAAAUUACAAUUUUUUGUGUGUACAUUUACGUUUUAUUUUUUAUUUUAAUUUUAAAAUAUUAAAAAGUAAAUAAAACUAUUGACAAAUAACUAAAAUGCAAAAACAGUUAAUAAAAAAAGUAAGUUUUUAAAUAUUUUAUAAAAUAUAAGGUGGUGUUUGUUUUUUUACUUAAUUCUAAAUAGAACCUUAAUACUUAAUAGUAUUAAAUAUUAGGUUGUUUGUUUUUGUAGUAUUUUAUUUCUAUUAAGUAUUAAAAAGUAAAAAAAACCAUUGCGUUAUUUUUUCUAUUUAGAAAAAGCCACAUAUUUUGGCUUUUUCUAUUUAGUAAAAAAUUUAUAAUAAGUCAUGAAAAAGUAAAAAAACAAACAACCUAAAUUCUAAAACUAAAUGGUUUUCAGUAAAAAGCCAAAAAAACAAACACCACCAAGUCUUAUAUAAAAAUUAAGUUUAUAAGAUAAAUCAUAAAUGCAACUUUCGAUAAUUCUAAUAAAAUAUACUAAUGUCAGGCAGAUUUUUUAACCAGACUUUUUAUUUGAACUUUGAAAUAAAAUAUUUUAUUUAAAAGUUUUGAAUGAUUUAAUUUUGCCUUUCAUAUAUAAAAUGUUUUAUUUUUUUUAAAUAAAUGAACAUGUGGUAAACAAUUUUAAGAUCGUUUUAGAAAAAAAAUUAGGUAAUUUUAAAUUGAUUAAAAAAUUCAAUAAUUUUAAAUAGUUUAAAAUUAUUUAUUUUCAAGAUAUAUAUUUUAACUAGUUUAAAAUUAAUUUAUUUUCCUAUUUAUGCUUAAUUAAUGUAACUAAUUUUAUCAUUUUAUACAAUUCACAUUUCUUAUGUACAUAUAUUAUAUUAUUAACUUUAUAAUUUUGCCAUAAUAAUUGCCAUUCAAUCAUUUUUUUUUUUACUAUGUUUCCUAAAAUUUCUAUAAAAUAAUCCAAUAACAAAUGUUCCAUCCGAUGCUUUCAUCUUUUAUCAUUAGAUGACAAAGCAUAAGGUUUUUUAAGCUACACCGCUAGACGUGGCAAAGGAUAGUAAUAGAUAAGUCUUUUGAUUAUUUGAUGAUAACGAAACGAGUUUGAAAUUUAAAUGAUAAUAAUAAUAAUUUUUAAUAAAAUAAUUUAUAAAAAAUUAUAAUAUUUUAAGUAUUUAUAAAAUAUAUUUAUUUUAUAAAAGUAAAUUAUAAAAAUGUGUUUACUUAUAAAUUAUAUUUCUUUGAUAUAAUUAAAAAUUUUAAAUAAAAUCAUAAUCCACUUUUUCUUUCCCAUCCUGCCCCUGCUUUAGGUUUAGGAUAGGGUGAAAAUAUAUUUAAGUUAAUUGGAGUAUGGUCAUGAUUAGUCAUGAUUACAUCCAUAAUUACCACUAAACAAAGAUUAGUUGUUAAUAAUGUGACAGCUAUAGUUAGUUGUUUUACAACUCAAACCAUUUUAGAUCUUAUGAAAAUCUUAAAAAAAAAUUAAGCUAAUUCAACAUGAGGUAAUCAUCCUAUACGAUAUGUGAAUAGGGUGAUGGUUUUUUUUUAUAAAUUUAAACUAUGUGAAUGCAAAAAACAAUUAUAAACAAAUAUAUAAUAAAACAAUAUAAAGACAAUUGCAUGUAAAAGAGUAAGGAAGAGAGAAUACAAAUAUAAGAUUUUUAUAGUGGUUCGAUACAACUUGACUUACGUCCACUUUCCUCUAACUUCAAUCACAAGUUUGAGGUUCUACUAAUUUAAGGUUUCCAACACAAGCCUUCAAUUAAGUAAUACAAUUGAAUUAUAGUUCCAAUAAACCAUUUUGGACUUUUGGCUCCAAAUACCCUUUAUAAUCCUUAAGAGAUAUAUCACUUUUGAACAACCCCUUAAAUGAUAUCCCACACUUAAAAAUCCCAAAACGAUACCCCAUGCUUAGAUUUUUCUUCUCAAAGAUUUACAAAUGAGGAUAAAAAAUAUUCUUACAAAAUUUUAGUACAAAACUUUAAGUUCAAAUGAUAUAAGAAAAUUAUGAUUGAAUGGUGUACUAAAAAUAUGCAAGUUUUUGAACAAGGUGAACUAAAAAAACACUCUUCUAAGGCUCAAAUAUAUUCAAGAAAGGUUUAAGAAGGUUAAACUAUUGAAACAAUGAAGAUUUAAGCUUUUUUAUAGAGGAAAAAUGUCAAACUAGCCAUUGGAGGUUCGUCUCAUGGAGCUCAAACUUGAUUGGUUUGCUAGCCGUUCGAAUUUAAUGCAUGACAAGUGACCAUUGGACUUCGACUAUCCCUUGACCAUCACUCAAUCGGUCCUCGACUUGUUGAACAAGCGGUUUAGAAGAGAGAUAAUGUUUUUACACCUUUUGACUGGUUAAACUAAAUAGGUUGAUUGGUUUCUCAUCUGAUUUAACUAGUUGAGUUGUUUGUGGUUCAAUAACCAUUUUUUUCAACUUUAAACAUUUUAAACAAGUUUGGAAAGCAUUUGACACAAAGUUUUAAUUAAAAACAUGAAAUCAUCCAAUUUUAAAAGAUUUAAAACAAAAUAACCAUUGGAUGAUUUUGGUGCAUAAAUAAGAAUGUAAUGUAUGAAAAACAUAGUGUACUAACAACCUUACAAAAAAAUUCUAUAAAGCUUAGGUCUUGAAAAACACUUUUCUUUGAGGUAUUUUCUUCUUAUUGAUUUUCCUUUGUCUUGAUUUUGUAUUUAUGAUUGUCACUUUGAAAAUCUUCUUACCUAAUCACAUUUCAAAUAUAAUUGUUAGUUCCAAAUCUUGUUUUAUUAUUAUCAAAAUCGAGAUUAACCAAAUUUUGGUUUCACAAAAACUAAUAUCCAAAAAGAAAAAAAAAGUUUUAAUGUCAAAAUUUUAAAAUUAGAACUCAUUAAUAAAAUGUGCUUUUCCUAAGGGUCUUCUUUGUAAAAGAAAAAUAAAAUAAAAUAUAAAUGUCAUAAAAUUUGAUUUUAUUUUUAUUUUUAUUUUUUUUAAAAAUAAAAAAAUAAUAUAUAUAUAUAUAUAUAUAUAUAUAUAUAUUUUAAAUAUAAGCAAAAAUAUUUAAAUUUAUUUCUAUCUUGGAUCUUGGACCUAUAACUAAAUGUGAAAGUUUACAUAAAUUCCGAUCAUAUGCAUUGUACAUAUCUAAAAAUUUUACAAACUUUUUUUAAAAUUGGCCGCUUAUUAUUUUGAAAGUAAGAUAAGGGGAUAAAAAUUAAUUAAUAUAUUUUAUCUAACACUUAUCAAAUUUUAAUAUAUUUUAUAUUAUUUAUUUUAUGCUAAGAUAAAUACAUGAAUAAAAAUAUAUGCAUGAUAUUGUGUUAUUUUUAUUUAUUUUUUAUUUCAUAUAUAUUACUUGUAAAAUUUAAUAUUUUGGUCACAAUUUAUUUUACUAUAGUCUAAUUGAGAUUGUAUGAGAAUUGUUUUAAAAAUUAUUUUUUAUUUUUGAAAAGCUUUUUUUUUUUUUUUUUUAAACUCAAAAACAUGUUUAAUAGUUUUUUUUAAUAAAAAAAGUUCUUGGAGAAUUAGUCUUGUAAAUGGAGUGUUUUUUAAGAAAAUAUUUAAUUAUUUUCACUUGUUUUUAAAAGUUAUUUAAAAAAAUAAUUAUACAAGAUUAAAAAUAUAAUACUAUAAAUAGAUAUUAAUUUAAAGGAAUAUUUAAAAACACAAAAAAAUAGGUUGAGAACGUUUUCAAUUCUCGAAAAGACUUUUGUUCUAAAAACACUAAAGAAUUGUUUUUGAAAGUUAUUUAAAAAACUUAUUGUUAAUAACUUUAAUUAUUCUCACAAAUUUUAUAAACUCUAUUCAUUUCUAACUUCAAUUUUAUUUUAUGUUUUUCUAAGUAGUUUUAUUCAAUUAGUACUUUUAAAUUUAUUCUUUUUGUUUAGAUUUUUUAUUUUUAUGAAGAAUAUACAUUUUAGAAAAAAAAUAAAUUUUAAUUUAGAUUAGAAUAAGGAAAAGUAAUAAGAUAAUGAGAAAUAUUUUUGGAUUCUUUUUAAGAUAAAAAGUAGAGUAAUAAGGGGAGAGAAUGAAGAAAUUUGGCGAAGGGGACUAAGGGUUUAUUUGGUUGGUGUUUUUGAAAAUUGUUUUAAAAGAUGGUUUUUAAAAAUUGUUUUUAGUAUUUUAAGAAACGAAAUUAAUUUUGGGACUGAAAAACAGUUUAUGUUCCAAAAAAAAAAAAAGAAGAAAAAAACACGUUUAAUUGAGUUAAUAAAAAAAACUUUUUAGAACAAAUAAAAUAAAAAACAUAUUUGAAAGUUUUUAUUUUAUUUUAUUUUUAGUUGAGUGUUUUUUUUCAAUUAACUUGAUAUUAUAAAUCUCCUUUCAUGUCUUUUCCUAUGAUUACAAAGGUUCAAAAAUGUUUUUUUAUCCAUUAGAAAUAGUUGACAGCAUGUUUAAGGUGAUCAUCUAUCAUAUCUUUUAGGAAUUAUGUGCCACUUUAAUAUUUACGUCAUUUGAGCUGUAUAUUUCCAUGAUAUAUUUCAACAAACUUAUAGAAUAUGGUUAAGAACAUGCACUGGUGGAGGAGGUCAAAUGCCAAGGGCACCAAACCUAGCCCUGAGUUUUCCAAGAAAACUCAUCAAGUCAAAGAAGGGCCAGUUGAUUGGCUUAGAGGGAACUAACCUCAAUUUACCACUCCAUAAUACAAAUCUAGGUAAAUUAGGAUCCCUAAAACAAGAUCAUCCUUCAAACCACUACCCACCUGCAACAAAACAAGAAUGCAACAUUUACCUACAAUAUAGAACAAUGUUUCAGGGAAAUAAAUUAUCAAUAACACUAGCUCAAAAAUUGAGAAAAAAUAGAAAAGGACAAAAUAUUUAAGCCAUACAACAAUAGCAACCCCAAAUUGAAAAACGUCAUGGUGAUGCUAGAGAAUGUAUUUAGCAUCAAUUUUGACAAAUUUGCAUAUAAUAAACAAAAGAAAAGUAGUUUUGCGCUCAUGUUAUUGUAGAUUUUGGUGGGCAUUGCAGGUAGAAAUGGUGUUUAUAAGAAGUAAUAUGAUCCUUUCAAUAGAGAUAAUAAUUGGGUUAAUACAGCCUAGGUCAUGCUCAAACCUUAAUUAGGACCAUGGUGAGAAUAGAAUCGGAGGGAUGGAAGCUAUUAGGGCCUUCUUUCUAGAGAUAGUCGUCCCCCUCCAUGGUGGUUACCCUUGACGCUAUCUCUCACAUUUGUCACAAUCACAUUGCUGCCUACAUCACCAUGCUUGGUGGCAAGAGCUCGAGUGAUAUAGAGGCUAUUGAUUCCUCUCCCGACGAUGACACAGUCCACUGGCAAGUAAUUAUUUUCAUUGCCAACCUUGGAGGAAGAAAUUGUAGACUCCCAGUCCCAGUGAUAGAGCAUCGAAAUUUCCAUGGCCUAGUGCAAUUGUUCUAAGUGUGUCUAGAGAAAAAUGGAAAAUUGCAGUGGAGAUUUACAGGAGAAAAAAGGUGAAGAGUGGGAGGGUCAAUGAGAAUAAGAGUGGGCAUGGCGAGGAAGAGAGUAAGAGAUGGUUAGAACAAGAAAUGUGAGAAUAGGAGAAGAAAGGAUUGAAAACACGAAGAGCAGAGAUGUUUUUAUUUAUUUUCUAAACAAUAAAAAAACAAGAAAAAGAAUUUUUUAUUGUUAUUUGAAAAUAGACAUUUAGAAAACAUGAAGAAUAGUGAAAACAAUGGGGCUACUUCCCAAAUGUGUGUGUGUGUUUUUUAUUCUUAAGAAAAAAAAAAUUCAAAAAACACCAACCAAAUAAGCCCUAACUCUUCCUUUUACUUGAUCUCCUCAUUUUUUAUUAAUCAAGGGAAAAUAUUAAAUAUUAAAAUUCAAUUAGUCACAAUACCUCUUUAGUACUAUUGCAAAAUUUUUCUUAUUUAGUAAAAAUAUAUAUAUUUUUUUGACAUAACUCAGUCCGCUCUUCUUAAAAACUUUAAUUAUUCACGUAAUCAUAUGUUUCAAAUGUUUCUAAUUGUUCAUAUUUUAAGAUCUACAAUCUGUUAAGACCUUUGUUGCAGAUCCUUUGCUUAAAAAGCUUAUAAAUCUUUAAUUGAAUAUACUAGGGUUUCUCAAACAAAGUGAUACUUCACAUCAAGUUAUUAAAUCCUUAACCAAGUGUUCAUUUAUGAAUGCUUAGUAAGGAUCUUGUAAUAGUCAAAUUCUAAUUAACAUGAAAUCCUAUAAACCAGUGUAAUGUACUAAGAAUGAAUAAGAAAACAUCAAAUUUAUAUAUUGGAAUUUUGAAUAAAUCAGAAAGACCAAGAACUUUUUCUAUCUUUUAGAUUGGUGGAUUCAAUUUAAUUAAAACAUCAUGACUUAUUGGAUAGUUGGAAUAGGAAUUAUAUUUCUUGAGAAAUCCAUGUGAAAAAUAAGUGUUAUUACAUGUUUAAUGAUUCCCAUGGUAUGGUAGCUCUUGGAAUUAAUUAGGAAAAGAGAUCCAAGAAUCAUUUAGGUUUUGGAAUUAGGAUAAAACAUCCAUGUUUAUUAGGUAUUUGAAUAGCAUAUAAAGCAAAACGAAAUAAACAUUUUAGUUUACAGUUAUGUAUCAUAAGACAUUAUCUCUAAAAUAUAUGAAUAAUUAUUAAAUUAAAAUAAAUUAUUUAGAUAAAUAAUAUUAAUUUGAUUUAUUUAUUUUGAAGAUAUAUUAUCUUUUGAAAAGCUAAACUAAAUAAUAAAAAUUGACAAUUCUAGUGUAGUAGGUGUUGAUAUUUAAAAAAAAAAAAAAACAAAAUAAGUAAUGAUUAAAAAAAAUGUAAAAGAUAAGUAUUGAAGAAAUUAGUUGAAACAAAGGAGAAUUAUGUUUUCAGGUUAAUCGAGUUUGAUAAUUAACCCAACAUCCUUAUAAGUUGCAUAUUUGAUGGAAAUGAUAUGUAAUAUUAAGGGACAAAAAUACCCCUUUCAACCGCCACAUCUCUCACACACACAUAUUGUAAUUGUGUGUAUAUUUGCUCUAUGACUUGGAGGCUUCAACAUAAAUGAGUAAAAAUAAUAUUAAAAAAAGAAGUAUGUUAAUCCUGAUUUCUUUUCACCAACCCAAUUGCUAUUUAUUUCUAGAUUUAUUUUAGGUUGGGUGCAAAUGUGUUUUUCUUUUUUAUUCAUAUUUUCUUCACAACAAAAAAAUAAAAUAAAAUAAAUAUUAGAGAUUGUUUGUUAAGUUGGGUUCCACUAUUCUCUUAAUCAUGCAUUGAAGGACUUUGUAAUAUUAAUGGUCAUUUUAUCCCAACAUUUUUUAGGGAAUUUUGAUAUCACCCAAUGUUUGGGAUUGUUUUUCUCAACCUACCUUGUUAGGUCCUCAUUGAAGCAUACAAGUUUUGCAAAUGCCUCAUUUUAAUCACAAGCCAAUGUAGCAUUCACAAUGCUAUCUAUAAGCAACCAAACAUCUUCCUUGUCUUUCUUUCCUUCAUUGUUUUGCUUACUGAAGAAGCUAGUAAAAUUCUCCUUCAAAUGACGAUAACAAUAUUUAUGAUUUUUCAUCCUAAACAACUCUAAAACACUAUGCAAAAUCUAUUUAAUAUAAUGACAACAUCUUUACCAUUAAGAAUCCUCUUUUAACUUCUCCAAGAACCAAUACCAAUCUUCAUAAUUUUUUGAACUUACAACACUAACUUCUAGAGGAAACAUUCCAUCAUCUACAUCAUAUGCAAUGGUAGACAAAAGAGUUCCCUUAUAUGGGUCGCUAAGGUGGUAAGAAUUAAUGACUAAUAUCGGUUGACAUCCCAUGAUGAAUCCUUGAAUUGAAAACGCAUGGGUAAUAAACAAUUUCAUAAAGUGCCCUUCAUUUGAAGUAUACUUUGCAAGAGUCCUCAGGUUAAUUUUCAUUAGCCUUUGGCACAACCAAGGCAAAAAUAGGUAGGAGUCACGAGGAGCACCAUAAAUGUACUCAUUCACCUUUCCUUUAAAGUGUCAUGUUUGGUUAUAUGUCAAGACUACUCUAUGCUUACGUGCAAAAUCUUUGCAUAUUUGACAAAGAAAAUAAUCUAGAGUUGUUUUAGACACUUCUUCAACAACAAUGACAACCCUCUUUGAAUGAACCUCCACUUAAGAUGAACAAUCAUUUUGAGCGAAGUGAUUAUGAUUAACUUGGCAAGUAUGGACUCCCAAAAUUUCAUUCCCUGCUACAAUGUGAGUUGUUAUCUUCAAGGGCAACCCUCAAUCAAACACUUUACUAACAUAUGUUUUGGUGAAUUCUUCAUGUACUUGUAUUGAAACCUCUUACCUAAUGACAUCAAGUAUAUUGCAUUACGGAACUAUUCUUCAUUUUUAAAUGUAUGACCUAACCCUAGUAAUACAUUACAAUACCAAUUCAAUUCUAAAGACAUGUACUCAGUUUUAGCACAUCGUGAUGUAAAAACUCUUGAUUACAUCAUAACAUCACAUAACGCAUUACGUGAUGCACUUGAGGAAGGAAACAUGGUAGGUGGCGUAGUACACAAAUACAAGAAAUAUAUUUAAUUCAUGUAUAAAUUUGAUGUUUACAAUAUUUUGGUCGAGUAUUCAUGUGAAAGAGCAUUACCCAUAUGCCAACUAUGUUAAUGGAAACUCACUAGCACAAGAACAUUGUUAGUGCUUUACAAUAUGCAACGAAAGAUCUAAUAUAACAUUUAGUGUGAAUAAUGUGAGCUAAUUCAUGCAUAAUCCUCUUGAUACACAUUAGAAAUCUAUUAAUAGAAUCACAUUAUAGGUUGCUCUUGAGGAAAUCUAAAGACCUGAAUUUAAUUGGCUACUCUGAUGUUGAUUAAGUAUCAAAUGUUGAUCACAAAAGGUCAACUAAAGGAUUUUGCAUUUACUUGAAGAAUAAUUUGAACACUUGGCGCUUGAAAAAGCAACGCAUAGUGUCUCGAUCAAGUAGGAAGGUUGAGAAUUGUAGUCUAGUGGUGUUGUAUGAUUUGGCUACAGUCAUUACUCAAGGAACUCACAAUUGAUCUAAGGUUACUACCAUCUUGUGUGACAAUUUGAUCUAGUCUACAAACCCAAUCCUUUACUCUCAGGCAAGGGUUGAACUUAUAUUGCGUUGAGAAAAAGUAAUUCAAAGUCCACUCAUAGUUCAACAUAUCUAGCAAUAGAUCAAGCAGCAGAUAUUUUUAUGAAAACAAUCUAAGCAACUUAUUUUCAAAGGCUGCUUGGCAAAAUGAAUAUUGUCCACUCACCUAUACAGUCAUUUUGUGGGUGGCAUAUUAAGGAAUCUAAUGACUCUGUUAAUGAAAACCUAAUAUAAGAAGCAAUGAUGGAGGCACGUGUCCAUGAUUAACUAUACAUCUUUGUUUUUCUCAAUGAAUAAUAUCAUGUCUGAAAACCAAAUGUUAUAGAACAUUUCCUUUGUUCUUUCCUUUCUUUUCCAGCAAUUUUUAUGGAACAUUUUAUUUUGUUCUUUCCUUUAUUUUCUGGCUGUAGUUACCCUUUUAUAAUUUUGUUGGUUGCUCACCUUUUAUAUGAAGAACUAUUGUAAUCCCUUCAAUGGAGGAAUGAAAAGAAACUUUCCAAAUAAUCCGUUUUCUAAUUUACUGCAUGUGAUUGCAUUCAAAUUUGUAGUGUCUAUUUCUAACUGAAGAAUGGCAAAACCUAAUUCUCCACAGCUGGAUUUGAAUUUGAAUUGUAGUCGUGGGAACUCGAGAAUAUUUCUUGGGAUUGUAGUCCUGGGAUUUUAAAGCCAAAUCCACCGAAAACACAUUGGAAUUAUGGCCGCCUAUGAUCCUAUCCUAAACACCAGGGUCCCAUUCAAUUAUAUGACCUCUAUCAGCUAAUGCUUCUCUAGCCUACUGAUUAGAGGAACCAUAUAAUUUGAUUGUGUUUGAAUAUGAAACCUCACUCAACGUCAUUUAAUUAAUCAAAUCAAUAUAUGAUCAGUCAUUAAUAAACUGUACAGAAUUGUAUUUCCAGUAGUCCUAAGUUUAGAAUGGCAAAGUCAUGUAACUUCAUUCAUGGGCAAAAAAAUUUGAUAAAAGAUUCAGAGUUCAAAGAUUGCCCAGACAUACCUUCGAUCCAGUGUCAUUCAAAGAGCUUUUGGGACACUGAUGAAAAGAUAAAUAGAGGUCCCAACGGUGAAAGAACUUAAGAAUGUAAUUAUCUUUGCCAAGAAAUAUACUAUGAUGGGUCAUGAACCCAUGGAAAAUCUGUGACAUGCAUAUUUGAUCCGUUUACAUUACCAUGGAAGUAUUUAGAAAGAGCUCAACAUGGGUUGCUGAUUUACCAGCCAUUGAUGAACUAACAGCUACGGCCUGAAUUACAUGCGCUAUAAGAAAGAACUUUAAUCAAUAGCUAAUCUAUUAACGUGGUAAAAUUAUUAAUAAUGCGGGCUUGUAUAAUAUGCACACAUAUCGUCACUGAUUGCAGUUUUGCCUCCUAACGUUUUUAUACCUGAAGUAUUGUUUUCCUUUUAUGACUGAAGAUGUACAUGACAUGCACUGGGCUUUCAGGCAUUCAUGCUUUGUUCUUUGAUGAGUAUCAACAAGAUUAUUAAUAGUUCAUAAAAAUUCUCAACAUUAAUUUACCACGAGCAUGUCCUUUUCCCUGAAAAACACACAUGAACACAUGCAGAGGCGAGCUGAAGAAUUCAGAUCUUUUAGUUCAGUUAGGACUUCAACUGAUCCUGAAACUCAUGGGAUACCAUGGAGGGUGUUUUCUAGCUGGGAGUUCCGCCUUUCUCUCUUCUGAUUAGACCAUAUGUAUUCGGAAUAUGGCCAUAAUUCUCACAUGGGCAAGCAUUAUUGGCGGUGGAUCAAUGCCAGCUAUCACAUCUCUAACCUAACUUAUCAUCACAUGACUAAUUAAGUGGUUAUGAAGUGAAUUAGGUUGCUUGCAGGCCAUGUGAUUUUGUCUAAUAUUAGGAAAUUCAUCUGUUAAGGCUAUCCCCACAUUGAUCCACUGGCUGUGACACCCAACAGUGAAGGAAACAUGUGGCCCCUUCAUGGUUAUUGAUUUGUCUGAUCUGUUUUACAUUUUGAUCAUCCAUGUCCCCACUGCUUGACUUGGCUCAGGAUUAAAUCAUAUCUUCCGAGGUGAAAUAGCCUGCCGUACCCAUUUUUUAAAGCGGCAAAUUAGCUAGAUUAGGCAGAAAAAAAAAGGUCUUGCUUGCUAUUAUGAUGUCAUUCUGUUGAAUAUAAUAGCCCAUAUGGUAGAUAGAGAAGAAAAAAAUGUUUAUUAAUUCCUGAUCAAAUUUGUAUUGAUAGCUUACCAAUAAUUGAGUCAUUUUAAAUGUUUUCCCAAAUUGUGCUUACUUCAUGUAUUGAUGAUUUUUGACUUCUCAUGCCCAUACAUUUUACUUUUGUGUAUCGAAUUUGAAAUUAGGCCAAAAUACUGUAACCACUCAAUCAAGGAUGUGGACAAGCUUGUACCAAUACCCACGUAACACUGCUUAAUCCAAUGAUCUGAAAACUUAUUCAUCUCCCCCGCCCUUACCUUGUGGAAAUUUUCUUGUGUUAGGUCUGAGGUGCUUUUCUUAUGCUAUUCUCAUGGAAUAGGAUACUGGGGAUACAAAUUAUUCCAGAUUCAGUAGUUUCGUAGCUCCAUUUCCCUACAUUAAUAUAAACCUGAGGUCAAAAUGGGUGACUCAAGCAUUUUGUCAACAUUACAAAUAGAAAGAGAUUUGGUAAUCUAGAUAGUUAGCAACAAAUUUAUUCUAAUGAGGGCUGUGAGCAAAAUAGAUUAUUUUAUCUCCUUAUUUUAUGCUUCGGAACCUUGCUUUUAUAGGUGGCCAAGAUG